UUCUGAAUCUGUCUUUUUAUUUACCUCCUCUGCCACUGCUCUGGCAUAGAUCAUGUUCUUUUCUCACCUGGGUUACUGAGAUGAUUUCCACAGUCCCUCUGUCUUCAGAACCUCCUGCUUCCAUCUGUCUUUGCACUGUGUAUGAUAAGGCUCCGACUUCCUAGGAGGCGCAGUGCAGCCAUUUGCAAUUAGUUUAGCUCCCCAGCCUUCUUCAGGUGCCAUAUGUUUAAAGUACUUCACCUGCUCACAAUGUGCUUUAAUGCUUCUGUCUCAGCUUACUCAUUCUCUCAACCAGGGAUGCUCUUCUCUCUUACAGUUCAACAUACCUAGAAGAAAUCAUUUCUGUUUUGUGGUCACUUGAUCAAAUAAAUUUUUGCUCUGCAUUUUCAGAAUGUAUGUUAAAAUUUCUUAUAUACCUCUAGAAUAGAAUAUAUUCACGUGUGUGUGUGUGUGUGUGUGUGUGUGUGUGUGUGUGUGUUUGUGUGAAUGUGGACAGAUCCAUGCAUACCACCCCCCAUGCUAUCACUUGAAAGAAGCUCUUUAUGAAGCAAGUGUCUAAUCAACUUUCCUGUGACCCCUUCUCCAUUCACUAUUCACUAUUCUACCUCUUCCAUUCAUUGGUAUUGUUCCAGGUAUUGUAAGCAAAGAACUUUAUUCCUUGCACCACUUUUCAGACUCCACCAAACCAGCUCUCUGUAAAUUUCAAAGUUUGGGAGCUGAGCUCUGGUGGCUCACACCUGUAAUCCUACUUACUAAAGAUGACACCUUGAGCAUUGUGGUUCCAAGCCAGCCAAGGUAGAAAAGUCUGCAAAACUCCAUCUCCAAUUAACUAGCAGAAAUUAGGGUGAGAGGCAUAGUUUAAGUAGUGAAGCACUAGCUCCUAGUAUGCAAACUCUGAGUUCAAGUCCUAGUAUCACAGGG